GACGAACGCUGGCGGCGUGCUUAACACAUGCAAGUCGAACGGAAAGGCCCUGCUUUUGUGGGGUGCUCGAGUGGCGAACGGGUGAGUAACACGUGAGUAACCUGCCCUUGACUUUGGGAUAACUUCAGGAAACUGGGGCUAAUACAGGAUAGGAGCUCCUGCUGCAGGGUGGGGGGUGGAAAGUUUCGGCGGUUGGGGAUGGACUCGCGGCUUAUCGGCUUGUUGGUGGGGUAGUGGCUUACCAAGGCUUUGACGGGUAGCCGGCCUGAGAGGGUGACCGGCCACAUUGGGACUGAGAUACGGCCCAGACUCCUACGGGAGGCAGCAGUGGGGAAUAUUGCACAAUGGGCGGAAGCCUGAUGCAGCAACGCCGCGUGCGGGAUGACGGCCUUCUGGUUGUAAACCGCUUUCGCCUGUGACGAAGCGGGAGUGACGGUAAUGGGUAAAGAAGCACCGGCUAACUACGUG
rnacentral:rRNA from 1 species